ACGAACGCUGGCGGCGUGGAUAAGACAUGCAAGUCGAACGGGAGAAUUGCUAGCUUGCUAAUAAUUCUCUAGUGGCGCACGGGUGAGUAACACGUGAGUAACCUGCCUCUUAGUGGGGGAUAGCCCUGGGAAACCGGGAUUAAUACCGCAUACGAUUGAAAGAUCAAAGCAGCAAUGCGCUAGGAGAUGGGCUCGCGGCCUAUUAGUUAGUUGGUGAGGUAACGGCUCACCAAGGCGAUGACGGGUAGCCGGUCUGAGAGGAUGUCCGGCCACACUGGAACUGAGACACGGUCCAGACACCUACGGGUGGCAGCAGUCGAGAAUCAUUCACAAUGGGGGCAACCCUGAUGGUGCGACGCCGCGUGGGGGAAUGAAGGUCUUCGGAUUGUAAACCCCUGUCAUGUGGGAGCAAAUUAAAAAGAUAGUACCACAAGAGGAAGAGACGGCUAACUCUGUGCCAGCAGCCGCGGUAAUACAGAGGUCUCAAGCGUUGUUCGGAAUCACUGGGCGUAAAGCGUGCGUAGGCUGUUUCGUAAGUCGUGUGUGAAAGGCAGGGGCUCAACCCCUGGAUUGCACAUGAUACUGCGAGACUAGAGUAAUGGAGGGGGAACCGGAAUUCUCGGUGUAGCAGUGAAAUGCGUAGAUAUCGAGAGGAACACUCGUGGCGAAGGCGGGUUCCUGGACAUUAACUGACGCUGAGGCACGAAGGCCAGGGGAGCGAAAGGGAUUAGAUACCCCUGUAGUCCUGGCAGUAAACGGUGCACGCUUGGUGUGCGGGGAAUCGACCCCCUGCGUGCCGGAGCUAACGCGUUAAGCGUGCCGCCUGGGGAGUACGGUCGCAAGAUUAAAACUCAAAGAAAUUGGCGGGGACCCGCACAAGCGGUGGAGUAUGUGGCUUAAUUCGAUGCAACGCGAAGAACCUUACCUGGGCUUGACAUGUAAUGAACAACAUGUGAAAGCAUGCGACUCUUCGGAGGCGUUACACAGGUGCUGCAUGGCCGUCGUCAGCUCGUGUCGUGAGAUGUUUGGUUAAGUCCAGCAACGAGCGCAACCCCUGUUGCCAGUUACCAGCACGUCAAGGUGGGGACUCUGGCGAGACUGCCCAGAUCAACUGGGAGGAAGGUGGGGACGACGUCAGGUCAGUAUGGCCCUUAUGCCCAGGGCUGCACACGUACUACAAUGCCCAGUACAGAGGGGGCCGAAGCCGCGAGGCGGAGGAAAUCCUGAAAACUGGGCCCAGUUCGGACUGUAGGCUGCAACCCGCCUACACGAAGCCGGAAUCGCUAGUAAUGGCGCAUCAGCUACGGCGCCGUGAAUACGUUCCCGGGUCUUGUACACACCGCCCGUCACAUCAUGGAAGCCGGUCGCACCCGAAGUAUCUGAAGCCAACCGCAAGGAGGCAGGGUCCUAAGGUGAGACUGGUAACUGGGAUG
rnacentral:rRNA from 1 species